rnacentral:rRNA from 1 species
UACGUAGGGUGCAAGCGUUAAUCGGAAUUACUGGGCGUAAAGCGUGCGCAGGCGGUGAUGUAAGACAGUUGUGAAAUCCCCGGGCUCAACCUGGGAACUGCAUCUGUGACUGCAUUGCUGGAGUGCGGCAGAGGGGGAUGGAAUUCCGCGUGUAGCAGUGAAAUGCGUAGAUAUGCGGAGGAACACCGAUGGCGGAAGGCAAUCCCCUGGGCCUGCACUGACGCUCAGGCACGAAAGCGUGGGGAGCAACAGG